rnacentral:tRNA from 2 species
GUCCCGGUAGCUCAGCAGGAUAGAGCGGCGGUUUCCUAAACCGUAGGUCGGGGGUUCGAGUCCCUUCCGGGACGCCA